GACAGAGGGUGCAAACGUUGUUCGGAAUUACUGGGCGUAAAGCGCGUGUAGGCUGCUCCGAAAGUCGGAUGUGAAAGCCCUGGGCUCAACCUAGGAAGUGCAUUCGAAACUUCGGAGCUGGAGUCCUGGAGAGGAAGGCGGAAUUCUCGGUGUAGAGGUGAAAUUCGUAGAUAUCGAGAGGAACACCGGUGGCGAAGGCGGCCUUCUGGACAGUGACGUGACGCUGGAGACGCGAAAAGCGUGGGGAGCAAACAGGG
rnacentral:rRNA from 1 species